UACGUAGGGUGCAAGCGUUAUCCGGAAUUAUUGGGCGUAAAGAGCUCGUAGGCGGUUUGUCGCGUCUGCCGUGAAAGUCCGGGGCUCAACUCCGGAUCUGCGGUGGGUACGGGCAGACUAGAGUGCAGUAGGGGAGACUGGAAUUCCUGGUGUAGCGGUGAAAUGCGCAGAUAUCAGGAGGAACACCGGUGGCGAAGGCGGGUCUCUGGGCCGUAACUGACGCUGAGGAGCGAAAGCGUGGGGAGCGAACAGG
rnacentral:rRNA from 1 species